rnacentral:pre_miRNA from 1 species
UUUUAAGGAUGAGCAAAGAAAGUAGUUUCUCGAGAUGGAUUCUACUCCUGAUGAAGAUGCCAUGAAGA